rnacentral:lncRNA from 1 species
AGUUGUAUCUUCAGUGGUUUGAUGAAGCUAAAUCUGGGAGAUCACUCAUUCUAGGUAUGGAUCUCCUUACCCUUGGCCUCUGCAUCAUAUUUUGGCCUAUCAGAAAUGGUGAAAAGUCAAAUGUAAGAUGAAAGCUAUCAGAUGGCGUAAGAAAACUCUGGACCAGGUCUUAGAAGAUAUAGACCAGUGCUGUCAAGCUCUCUCUAAAAGUCUGGUAACACAACCAUAUUUUUUUAAUAAGCAGCUUCCUGAAUUUGAUACACUGGUAUUUGGCCAUUUGUACACCAUUCUUACCACACGAUUGAUGAAUGAUAAACUUUCUGAGGUGAAAAACUACAGCAACCUUCUUGCUCUCUGCAGAAGAAUUGAAAGGCACUAUUUUGACGAUUGUGAUAAAGGCAGAUUGCCU